UGGGGAAUAUUGCACAAUGGAGGGAACUCUGAUGCAGCGACGCCGCGUGAGUGAUGAAGGAAUUCGUUUCGUAAAACUCUGUUCUAUGGGAAGAAAAGGACUGUACCAUAGGAGAAAGCUCAGGCUAAAUACGUGCCAGCAGCCGCGGUAAUACGUAUGGAGCGAGCGUUGUCCGGAAUUAUUGGGCGUAAAGGGUGCGCAGGCGGCUUUACAAGUUGGAUGUGAAAUAUUGUGGCUCAACCACAAACGUGCAUCCAAAACUGCAAAGCUUGAGUUAAGGAGAGGUAAGUGGAAUUCCUGGUGUAGCGGUGGAAUGCGUAGAUAUCAGGAGGAAUACCGGUGGCGAAGGCGACUUACUGGACUUAAACUGACGCUCAGGCACGAAAGCGUGGGGAGCAAACAGG
rnacentral:rRNA from 1 species